rnacentral:rRNA from 1 species
GACGAACGCUGGCGGCGUGCCUAAUACAUGCAAGUAGAACGCUGAAGGAGGAGCUUGCUCUUCUGGAUGAGUUGCGAACGGGUGAGUAACGCGUAGGUAACCUGCCUGGUAGCGGGGGAUAACUAUUGGAAACGAUAGCUAAUACCGCAUAACAGUAGAUGUUGCAUGACAUUUACUUAAAAGGUGCAAUUGCAUCACUACCAGAUGGACCUGCGUUGUAUUAGCUAGUUGGUGGGGUAACGGCUCACCAAGGCGACGAUACAUAGCCGACCUGAGAGGGUGAUCGGCCACACUGGGACUGAGACACGGCCCAGACUCCUACGGGAGGUAGCAGUAGGGAAUCUUCGGCAAUGGACGGAAGUCUGACCGAGCAACGCCGCGUGAGUGAAGAAGGUUUUCGGAUCGUAAAGCUCUGUUGUAAGAGAAGAACGAGUGUGAGAGUGGAAAGUUCACACUGUGACGGUAUCUUACCAGAAAGGGACGGCUAACUACGUG